AAAACUUUUGAAAAAUAUGUCUGGAUGUUUCUUGUUCACUGGUGGUCCUGUUUCAGCCUUCCUUUCCUUGGCCAUGUCUCUGAGCACUGAACACCUUGUGCUUCUGGACACUCCAGAUAGGCCACAGUUCUGGAAUAUCAUGGUCUUGGAAGAUGCUUUCCUGGUA